rnacentral:rRNA from 1 species
CAGUAGCCACGGUAAUACGAAGGGUGCAAGCGUUACUCGGAAUUACUGGGCGUAAAGCGUGCGUAGGUGGUUGUUUAAGUCUGCUGUGAAAGCCCUGGGCUCAACCUGGGAAUUGCAGUGGAUACUGGGCGACUAGAGUAAGGUAGAGGAUAGUGGAAUUUCCGGUGUAGCAGUGAAAUGCGUAGAGAUCGGAAGGAACAUCUGUGGCGAAGGCGACUAUCUGGGCCAUUACUGACACUGAGGCACGAAAGCGUGGGGAGCAAACAGGAUUAGAUACCCCUGUAGUCCCUGUCUCUUAUAC